rnacentral:pre_miRNA from 1 species
CAACCUCUGCAGGCUGGCUGACCCAGAGGCUGGGCUGGGCGAGUAUCUCUUCCAAAGGCUCACUCUCAAGCAAGUCUAAGAGC